GUUUACGGCCAUAUCACAUUGAAAACAAUGGUUCUUGUCCGAUCAUCGAAGUAAGCAAAGUUAAGCCUAGUUAGUACUUAGAUGGAUGAGCGAUUUGUGGUGUGAACU
rnacentral:rRNA from 1 species